rnacentral:rRNA from 1 species
UACAGAGGUCCCAAGCGUUGUUCGGAUUCAUUGGGCGUAAAGGGUGCGUAGGCGGCGCGGUAAGUCGGGUGUGAAAUCUCGGAGCUUAACCUGGGGGCUGCAUUUGAAACUAAUAGGCUAGAGUUCGGAAGAGGGCCGUGGAAUUCCCAGUGUAGAGGUGAAAUUCGUAGAUAUUGGGAAGAACACCGGUGGCGAAGGCGGCGGCCUGGUCCGAAACUGACGCUGAGGCGCGAAAGCGUGGGGAGCAAACAGG